rfam:Bombyx mori DNA, contig: Bm_scaf103_contig36416, strain: p50T/Dazao, build 2, whole genome shotgun sequence.
UUAACUCAAAUUUGUAUGAAGUUGAAACGUUUGCCUACGUUUGCCGCUAGGGGCGCUGUUCCAACUGCAUACAAAUUUGAGUUA